rnacentral:rRNA from 1 species
AGUCGUAACAAGGUCUCCGUUGGUGAACCAGCGGAGGGAUCAUUACCGAGUUUACAACUCCCAAACCCCUGUGAACAUACCUUAUGUUGCCUCGGCGGAUCAGCCCGCGCCCCGUAAAAAGGGACGGCCCGCCGCAGGAACCCUAAACUCUGUUUUUAGUGGAACUUCUGAGUAUAAAAAACAAAUAAAUCAAAACUUUCAACAACGGAUCUCUUGGUUCUGGCAUCGAUGAAGAACGCAGCAAAAUGCGAUAAGUAAUGUGAAUUGCAGAAUUCAGUGAAUCAUCGAAUCUUUGAACGCACAUUGCGCCCGCCAGUAUUCUGGCGGGCAUGCCUGUUCGAGCGUCAUUUCAACCCUCAAGCCCAGCUUGGUGUUGGGAGCUGCAGUCCUGCUGCACUCCCCAAAUACAUUGGCGGUCACGUCGAGCUUCCAUAGCGUAGUAAUUUACACAUCGUUACUGGUAAUCGUCGCGGCCACGCCGUUAAACCCCAACUUCUGAAUGUUGACCUCGGAUCAGGUAGGAAUA